GUCUGUCCCAAAACCUAGGGAGCUCUCUACAUAGACAGCUUCUUACGUCAUGGGAUGCGCGUUCCCGAGAAGUAGGCUGUCCCAAUUCUUAGAUACCUUAAAAUGCUGUCUACUAAGAUACCUUAUUCUGACCCUGUAAUAAGAGAGCAUUAGACCCUUCCUCAGCCGGUAAGGCAAUCCCAUGAUGCAGCGCGGGCAGCACAGCGUAGCUCAACUUCUUCCAUCAUGGCGGACGGAAGUGGAUCGGCCAGCGGCGAAGUCAUUUUCAAAUGACUAUUGUUCUGGAAUUGGGGCUUGCGGACAAAGUAAAAGAAAUGGGAAAACUUAAAAAAUAAAUACAAUG